CGAGGAAUAUUGCACAAUGGAGGCAACUCUGAUGCAGUAACGCCGCGUGAGGGAAGAAGAUUUUCGGAUUGUAAACCUCUUUUUGUAGAGACGAGCGAGGACGGUAUCUAUAGAAUAAGUCUCGGCUAACUACGUGCCAGCAGCCGCGGUAAGACGUAGGAGGCGAGCGUUAUCCGGAUUCACUGGGCGUAAAGCGCAUGUAGGCGGUUGUGCAAGUCGUGUGUGAAAGUCCCCGGCUCAACUGGGGGAGGUCAUGCGAAACUGUGCGACUGGAGGGCAGGAGAGGAACGUGGAACUCCCGGUGUAGCGGUGGAAUGCGUAGAGAUCGGGAAGAACACCAGUGGCGAAAGCGACGUUCUGGUCUGCACCUGACGCUGAGAUGCGAAAGUGUGGGUAGCAAACG
rnacentral:rRNA from 1 species